rnacentral:rRNA from 1 species
CAGUCGCCGCGGUAAUACGGAGGGAGCUAGCGUUAUUCGGAAUUACUGGGCGUAAAGCGCACGUAGGCGGCUUUGUAAGUAAGAGGUGAAAGCCCAGAGCUCAACUCUGGAAUUGCCUUUUAGACUGCAUCGCUUGAAUCAUGGAGAGGUCAGUGGAAUUCCGAGUGUAGAGGUGAAAUUCGUAGAUAUUCGGAAGAACACCAGUGACGAAGGCGGCUGACUGGACAUGUAUUGACGCUGAGGUGCGAAAGCGUGGGGAGCAAACAGGAUUAGAUACCCGUGUAGUCCCUGUCUCUUAUAC